GACGAACGCUGGCGGCGUGCUUAACACAUGCAAGUCGAGCGAUGAAGUUCCUUCGGGAAUGGAUUAGCGGCGGACGGGUGAGUAACACGUGGGUAACCUGCCUCAUAGAGGGGAAUAGCCUUCCGAAAGGAAGAUUAAUACCGCAUAAGAUUGUAGUGCCGCAUGGCAUAGCAAUUAAAGGAGCAAUCCGCUAUGAGAUGGACCCGCGUCGCAUUAGCUAGUUGGUGAGGUAACGGCUCACCAAGGCGACGAUGCGUAGCCGACCUGAGAGGGUGAUCGGCCACAUUGGGACUGAGACACGGCCCAGACUCCUACGGGAGGCAGCAGUGGGGAAUAUUGCACAAUGGGGGAAACCCUGAUGCAGCAACGCCGCGUGAGUGAUGACGGUCUUCGGAUUGUAAAACUCUGUCUUCAGGGACGAUAAUGACGGUACCUGAGGAGGAAGCCACGGCUAACUACGUGCCAGCCGCCGCCGUAA
rnacentral:rRNA from 1 species